rnacentral:snoRNA from 1 species
CCUCUCUCAGGAUGGCACCUGGAGAGUUUCCAGUCUUCUACCAGUCUCAGCUAAGGGAGGGAGAGUCAAGCAGAGGCCUAUCCAUUCCUUUCCUAGCUUGGGCAGUGGCUAGCGAGUGGAAGGUCAUCGGCUACAAGU